rnacentral:rRNA from 1 species
GAUGAACGCUGGCGGCGUGCCUAAUACAUGCAAGUCGAACGGGGUUGUUGUAGCAAUACGACAACUUAGUGGCGAACGGGUGAGUAACGCGUUGGUGACCUGCCCCGAAGAGGGGGAUAACAGUCCGAAAGGAUUGCUAAUACCCCAUGUGGUCAUAGAGGUUAGAGGCUCUUUGACUAAAGCAGCAAUGCGCUUCGGGAGGGACCUGCGUCCCAUCAGCUAGUUGGUAGGGUAAUGGCCUACCAAGGCAAUGACGGGUAGGGGGCCUGAGAGGGUGGCCCCCCACAAUGGCACUGAAACACGGGCCAUACACCUACGGGUGGCAG